GAUGAACGCUGGCGGCGUGCCUAACACAUGCAAGUCAAGGAGAAGGUAACCUUCGGGGAACCGGAUACUGGCGCACGGGUGAGUAACACGUGGAUUAUCUACCCUUUACACAGACAUAACUCAGGGAAACUUGAGCUAAUAUCUGAUGAGGCCUCCGGGUCAAAGCUUCGGCGGUAAAGGAUGAGUCUGCGUCUGAUUAGCUAGUUGGUAAGGUAAUGGCUUACCAAGGCGACGAUCAGUAACUGGUCUGAGAGGACGAUCAGUCACACUGGAACUGAGACACGGUCCAGACUCCUACGGGAGGCAGCAGUGAGGAAUUUUGGACAAUGGGGGAAACCCUGAUCCAGCGACGCCGCGUGUGGGAUGAAUGGGUUAUGCCCUGUAAACCACUGUCAGCAGAGAAGAAAAGGUUCCUUUGGAACCCGGGACUGUAUCUGCAGAGGAAGGACCGGCUAACUACGUG
rnacentral:rRNA from 1 species